rnacentral:rRNA from 1 species
UACAGAGGUCUCAAGCGUUGUUCGGAUUCAUUGGGCGUAAAGGGUGUGUAGGUGGCGCCGUUAGUCGGGUGUGAAAUUUCGGAGCUUAACUCCGAAACUGCAUUCGAUACUGCGGUGCUUGAGGACUGGAGAGGAGACUGGAAUUCAUGGUGUAGCAGUGAAAUGCGUAGAGAUCAUGAGGAAGACCAGUGGCGAAGGCGGGUCUCUGGACAGUUCCUGACACUGAGACACGAAGGCCAGGGGGAGCAAAACGGGG